GGUACCUCCUACCACUGCGCCACACGCGUCCAAAUAGUUCAGAUAGAGAUUAAAAAUAAAAAGACCAUUCAUAUUAAGCGAUCAUUUUAAUGAGUUGAUCAUGAAUCUUUUUUCGAGUACCAAGUGGAGAGCAAGUCUGAUGCCAGCAGCCUCGAUAAUUCCAGGUCCACUAGUGUAAGUCGUCAUUUCUGCGGUUAAAGCGCUCAUAGUUGGAUCUGAGUUGCAUGCAAUGAUUCGCCGUUGGCGUCAAUCAUUGUUGUGACUAUUUGCCGGUUUUCUGUUGAAUUUUUUAUUUCUUUAGUUGCUAGCGAGUUUACUUUAGAUAAAUUAGAAUGCUCAAAACAAGUUUGCUUGAAUGGUCGUUUAUGGAAUAAUAAAAGAAGACUUCGAUUCUAAUUAUUGGUUCAGGAACUGAAGUAAUGACUAAGAGGGACAAUUCCGGGACAUUCGUAACCCCGCGCGAGCGAGAGGUCAAAUUCAUGGGCCGCAGGGAGCGGAAACAUUUGCCAAGAAUGUCUUCAUUAAUCAAGAACGAAAGUCAGAGGUUCGAAGGCGAUUAGAUACCGCCCUAAUUGUGACCGUAAACUAUGCCAUCUAGCGAUCCGAUGGGGUAUUGUUGCCACGUCGAGGAUUUUACCGCAAACGAAAGUCUUUCGUUUCUU
rnacentral:ncRNA from 1 species